rnacentral:lncRNA from 1 species
UUUGAACUAUUCAAUUCAUGUUUAUUCUCCUUUUCUUUUAGUAAUUAAGAUUAUUUUCUAAGAGUGUUGAGUAUCGGAAAAUACUUGUGUGAGCCCUUUUUUGGAGUGAUUUUGUGAGAUUGCUCUCUUGAGGUAUUUGGGAUGAAUUAGAGUUUUUACUCUAGUUUUGUACUCUCUUUUGUACUCUUGCUACUAUAAUGAAAUUACUCUUUUCUGCUUGUGGACGUAGGUCUUCUUGACCGAACCACGUUAAAUUGGUGCCUUCCUUAUAUGCUUUAAUUACUAUUAUUAUCAACUUACAUUAUCUUUGUUAUAUUGUGAUUAUAAUAUUUCUUGGCAAAAUUCUGCACUAUACCGGUUCUCGAUCCUAACAUUUCCCAUGUUUACUCAACAAUCUACUUGAUUCCUUUCAGUAGGAGUGGCAAACGGGCGGGGCGGCGGAUAAUAUGGGUUAACCAUAUUAUCCAUGACUUCUUGUAUAUGAUGACUUUUGGGAGAAGUUUUAGUCACCCUAGCUUGAGGAACCUCCAAUUUGAGAAUUUACAAAUGUAAAAGUUAGACUCAUUGACUAUUUAUAUGGUUCUUAUCCAUAUUUGACCCGUUUUUAAAAAGUUCAUUAUCCAACCUAUUUUUUAAUGGAUAAUAUGGAUGAUUAACAGUUUUCUUUGAACCAUUUUUCCAACCUUACCAGUCAUCCUUUGCCCUUUUUUUUACUCAAUAAUCUACUCGGUACUUCCAUCACAAUCAGAAACAGAAAGGUGAUCGGGGAUUAACUGGCCUUAGUCCCCUUUGUGAUGAAAAGCUGGUAGACCCUUUAUAAUAAAUAGAACUUGACUGUAAAAUUGCAGGUUCUUAUAUAUUUAAUUCAUCUCUUCUCAAAACCCAUCUUCUGUAUAGUAUUAACAAGAAGGAUUAGUUAACAAGGCGACUGGCUUUUUCUAGGUCUAGCUUACAAAUUAUUAUUCUUGAUUUGAUAUUCUCCUAGAAUCUGAUUAUUCAUUAGCAACUAAAACAGUAUCCGUGAUGUUUCUACUUUCUUGCUGUAUGGAUACAUUUUGUGUGCCAACAUAAGACUCCCUAUGCCUGUCCUUAAUCUUUCAAGACACUUUUGCCAUUAUCUUGUCGAAAGUUUCUAAGAGACUAAUUGGUCUAAAGUCUCUUAGUAUUAUUGCAUUCAUCUUCUUAGAUAUCCAGGAUAUAAAAGUAGCAUUCCACCUUAUCAAAAAAAAAAAGGAAGAAGAAACAGCAUUCAAUUUCUAUAAAGCACUGGAAAGUGUUCAUCAAGUCUUCUUUCAAGAUUCUUAUCCCCAAAUAAAAAGGGUUUUCUUAUGAGAUUGGCUAACAUCUUUUGGAGAAUAAAAAGCCGUCGUAUAGCCAUCAGGAAUAGGGGUUUAUUCCCUGCACAUCUUAGGUAUUGGGAGUAGGAUAACUACUGUGUUGCGUGCAAAAUCAAGCUCCAUACCGUUGAGUUUAUAAAUCGAACAAAAGGACUCAUAUAUAUCAUUAUUUGAGAGCACAUAUUGGCCGGCAGUGUCCCAUGAGGUCUUCAGCAACAUUAUUUAGCAUGGUGGAAAGCUAGAGAGAAUAAAUUCUAAACUAUGUCAUACCAAUAAUCUAAUAUAGCUCAUCCUUGAAAAGAUAUUAGGAUGUUGCCUUGAAAUGAGGAAAUGACUUAAGAGAAAGAGAAAGCAGCAAACGCAGACAAAGUGUCCGUAGGUAGCAUGAAAAGUUUCUAUCGUUAAAAGCAGCACAACUUUACCUCUUUUGUUCUUGUGAAUUUAGGGACAUUUGCUACUUGAAGUUAGUUAACAUUUUCUUAGUGAAAUAUGCCAGUGCUCAUGUUUUUUGAAAAAACCACAUUGGAUUGCUUCUCCUGUUGUCAUUAUGGGGAUAACCACAAUUGUUCUCAAAGUUGCAGAGUAGAAUAACGUUGUUAACAAUGAUUUGCUAUAAUUUGGAGUAAAUUGUUCUUUGGCCACAUUAACAUUGUAUUUUCUUUUCUUCAGUCGCCUAUUUUACGUUGAAAUUCUAUUCUGCUUUCUACAAAAGUCUAUCAGCAUCAAUUUUAUAUGAGCACAACCCCCGCGUAGUUCAAGGACCUUCGGUUAAGGAACAAAAACGGUUGUUAUAAAGUCGAGUCAACACUAUUCUUCAACCCAAGAAAGCUUCUCCUUUUUGUUUGUGUGCGCAAUUCUAACUUAGGUUUGGCCUUUUGCAUUUUUUUAUUUAUUAAUUUUUAUAAUGGUGGUGUCUACUAUGUAUUUGCUAUCUCUCACCAAUACAUAUACCGAGUAACUCUGCUCACUAAGGCUUGUCAAAUGAAAAGAAAUCGCUUGGCGUUAUUUUUUAUUUCUAUUCGGAUUUGAACUUAUGAUAUUGUGGUUUUCCACCCACGUUAUUUAACUCAAAUCUUGUGUAGUACAUUUGUAUUGUUAAAUGGUAUUUCCACUCUCAUUAAAAAAGACAACAUUGAGCCGUAUCACAGUCAAGUAUUUAUCAAAAUCUUUAGGAAGUAGGUUAUGGGAAUAAAUUUUAUCGACACUUAUGUUAGCAAACUUACAACAACAACAACUCAGUAUAAUCUCACUUAGUAGGGUCUGAGGAGGGUAGUGCGUACGCAGACCUUAUCCCUACCCUUGGAUAGAGAGACUGUUUCCAAAUAAACCUGACAUCCUUCCCUCAAAGAACUUCCCACCUUGCUCUUGGGGAGACUCGAACUCACAACCUCUCGGUUGAAAGUGGGGAUUGCUUACCAUCAGAGCAACCCCUCUUGUCUCGUUAGCAAACUUCCAACAUACUCUCGAAAUUUUGUGUUCCUCUCAAAAAAAAAUUUUUUGAAUGGACAUGUUUGUAGCAGUCAGUUUAUAUCUGUGGGAACCUAAGAACUAUCAAAUGCAUCUUUAGCUUGAAGCUGCUUUAACAUUUGAAUUAUGCUCUGUUUUUUACCUCCUGAAUGAUCAUGUCUCUGCCCAGCUUCCUUCAUUUGAACCCACUCAACCUUUUUAAUUAUUUUUAAUUAAAUGGACAUAGUUAGAGUUUUUCUUUUCUUUUCUCAAUGAAAAAUAGACUAUACUCUUUAUUUGAUUUACGAGGGCCAGUUUCCAGGUUACGUUUUUUAUGCAUUAAUGGCUUUCUGGAAAAUGUGAUUGUUUUUUGUUUGACUACAGUAGUCAUGUUUCUUUAUUUAAGCCCGUGCCAGUUCUUAUAAAUUUGGGUGAGACAGACUUAAAUCCCAAGUUGUUGGGAAUUGAGGCACAUUUUGCAUAGAGCAAGCUCGAAUCAAUAAUUUUAUUUGUGACAGUUACCAGUUAAAUAGGCAAUUGGUUCAACUUAUGGGUGUUAAACGGGUGGCCGGGCCUGGCCGGACCUCUAUUUUUUGGAUCCGUACGGAUUACGGUCCGGGCUGGGUUCGGAUUGAUUCUUAACGGGUUUGACGGGUUCGGGUUCACCGGGGAAAAAUUGAACCGUAAGCGUUACGUAUUGAGGGGCCGGGUUUAUAGUAUUUUUUUUGGAAUUUUGUAUAACAAUUAUAAGUUAUAUUAAUAUAAAGUAUUAACAUAAAGAAUACAAGGAAGAUGAGAAAAAAAUACACUUAUUACAAGUGCUACAUUUAUUUCAUAAUUCAAAGCUUUAAACUUACAAAGUAAAAGUUUUACAUUUUUAACAAUAAGUAAAUUCAAAGGUUUUGCAUUGCCCUUGCAAAUUCUUCAUAAUCAAUAUGAACCGAUUGUCCUUCUUCUGGAGUAUUAUAUUUGGAUGGGUUACCAUGUGUUAAUAUAUCUCAAAGUUUCUCGUCUUUUGGUCUAUCAACAUCUUCACGUCCUUGAUUUCUUCGUUCCGAUCUAAUCCAAUCUCUGAAACAUACUAAAACUUCCAAAGCAUUGCUUUCCAAUGAGUGACGGGUGUCUCCAAGUUGUUGUUUUGCUUGGCUAAGUGCACUCUCCGAUGCAACGGUGGAAAUUGGCACAUUCAGCACAUCCCGAGCCAUAGCGAAAAGAACAGGAAAUUGCUUUCCAUUCUCAUGCCACCAUCCCAACGGUGAAAAUUCCUUUAUGCAAGGCUCUUUUUUCUUCUACAAGUAGAAUUGAAAUUCAUUAAUGUUCCUGCUACUGGUUUGAGUGUUAGAAAAUGUAGAAAUAAUAUUAAAACUAUCAAGGCCUUCUUCAUCAUCCACAGUAGCAGAAAUGGUACAGUGCAUAGUGGGAUUAACAUUGCCUACAACACGAGCAACAUCAUCAAUUACAUUUGCAUAAUAAUUAUAUAAUUGUUCUAAAUAAUCAUUUAGCUUGUUCAUGGAAAUAUAUAAAUCUGGGAUUCCAAUUGGUCCAAUCUCUAUAUAAGUAUAUAAAACAUUCAUUACUUGGCGACAAUCAGACAUCUUAAUAGAAGGAUUUAAAACAACACCAAUUAAGUAAAUCGGUGGAAUUGGAAAGAAAUAUUUUUUGAAUUUGUUUGUAUUUUUUCAACAACAUUCUUAUAUUUUUCUUUCUUCUUAAAUUCAAAUAAUAACGCCAUAGUAGCAGUAGGGUAAUGUACUCCAGAAAACUCAACUGUAGCUGUAUAAAAUUUAUGUAAAAAUUUAACAACAUCAUUAAUGACCUCCCAAGUACUAGUNNNNNNNNNNNNNNNNNNNNNNNNNNNNNNNNNNNNNNNNNNNNNNNNNNNNNNNNNNNNNNNNNNNNNNNNNNNNNNNNNNNNNNNNNNNNNNNNNNNNNNNNNNNNNNNNNNNNNNNNNNNNNNNNNNNNNNNNNNNNNNNNNNNNNNNNNNNNNNNNNNNNNNNNNNNNNNNNNNNNNNNNNNNNNNNNNNNNNNNNNNNNNNUGGACACACUUAUUCUUAAAUUCUUUUAUUCUAGAUUGUCUAUUAUUUCCUUGAAUAACACUAACUGCUCUUCUAACAUGAGUAAUCUCAGUUGAAAACAAACCUAGACCAGUUUUAACAAUUAAAUUAUAAAUAUGAUAUGCACACGUAACAUGAAAAAUGUUAUCAAGAGGUGGUUGCAAAUGCAGUUUAAGUUGAAAUUGUGGCGUUAUUGUUAGAAGCAUUAUCAAAAGACAUACACAAUACUUUUUACUUUAGAUUAUAAAAUCCAACAACUUCACAAAUAGUACUACUUAUAAGCGCAGAAGUAUGACUCUGCUCUUCAUCAUAUCUAAAAGCGAUAAUACGUUUUUGCAUACAAGUAGUAUCAUCUAUGCAAUGAUAUGUAAUUGUCAAAUAAUCAUUUCCAUUAACAACAUGACCAAUAUCAGAAGUUAGAGAAACUCUACAAGGAAUGUGGCUAAACAAAUGACGUAUGUAUGUUUGAUAUUGUCCAUGAAGUCUAAAGAUAUCAGCUCUAUAAGUACUUCUAGGAAUACCUUUAAAUAAAGAAUUUUAAAUCCUUUGAAUAUACAUAAAAAGAUAUGAUAAUGAAGAGCUCUAUAAGUACUUCUAGGGGUACCUUUAAAUAAAGGAUUGCCUCUACAAGAUAUCAGCUCUACAAGUACUUCUAGGGGUACCUUUAAAUAAAGGACUGUAAAUUCUCUGAAUAUACAUAAUAAGAUAUGAUGAAGAAGCAAAAAAAAAAAGGAAGACAACCCAGUUCUCAUAUGUCUAUUAAGUGUCCCAACCCCCCAAAUUUCCUCCAGUCAAAUGUUUAAAAUCACCGUUACAAAUUUUGCAUUUAACUCUAUCGGUACCUUCUAUUAUUUUAAAAAAAUUUCGAAUCUUACUUCUUUUCUAUGAUUAGUAGUCGAAGCCACAGAUGGUCUACUCUUAGUGCCACGACCACCACCCUUGUAGCAACUCCAACGGUUCCAGCUCCAGCACUAAUAGGUGUAGUUGGUAUCUCAUCCCGUAUUCCUAUUUCAUUAUCUUCUAUUCCAAAAUCUUCUUGUAAUUGUUCAUAAUCUAUAUCUAUAUUAUCAUUAGGCGAUGUUUCGAAAACAUGUGUAAAUGAUAAUGGAUUAUUACUUUUACUACCAGAUACUGAAGGACUAUCUCUUUUUUUUUAUUUUUCCGCUCUUUUGGCAGCACUAGACAUAUUGCAAAAAUUAAAGUAUAAGUUAAAAUUAAAUAUGAAAAUUAAAAUAGUAAAUAAGAGAAAGAGUUGGAGGGAGUGCACCGAAUUCGAUAAUGAAUUGAGCACUUGAUUAUGCAAUUCCGAUGUUACCACGAACAAACGUCAAGCAAGAAUUUCAAAUUUGAACUUUAAUUGUAACUUCAAAUUCCGAAUGAUAAAACACGAUAAAUUAAAUUCAAUAAAAGAGAGUCAAAUUAAAUUAGAAGAUGAAGUAAUUAAUUGAAGACUUGAAGUCUUGUAAAUUGGAGAAUGAGAGAAUGAGAGAAAGAGAGAAAUUGGGAUUGAGAAAUGAGUGUUGAGUGAAGAAAUGAAGAAGAGGGGAAAGGGGGAGGGGAGGGGGGGAGUAUAUAUAUCAUUAUUUGAGAGCACAUAUUGGCCGGCAGUGUCCCAUGAGGUCUUCAGCAACAUUAUUUAGCAUGGUGGAAAGCUAGAGAGAAUAAAUUCUAAACUAUGUCAUACCA